rnacentral:rRNA from 1 species
AGUGAACGCUGGCGGCAUGCUUUACACAUGCAAGUCGAACGGUAACAGGCCGCAAGGUGCUGACGAGUGGCGAACGGGUGAGUAAUGCAUCGGAACGUGCCCAGUCGUGGGGGAUAACUACUCGAAAGAGUAGCUAAUACCGCAUACUAUCUAUGGAUGAAAGCGGGUGAACGUAAGGCCUCUCGCGAUUUGAGCGGCCGAUGUCAGAUUAGGUAGUUGGCGGGGUAAAGGCGCACCAAGGCAACGAUCUGUAGCUGGUCUGAGAGGACGAGCAGCCACACUGGAACUGAGACACGGCCCAGACUCCUACGGGAGGCAGCAGUGGGGAAUUUUGGACAAUGGGCGCAAGCCUGAUCCAGCAAUGCCGCGUGCAGGAAGAAGGCCUUCGGGUUGUAAACUGCUUUUGUACGGAACGAAACGGCUCUGGUUAAUACCCGGGGCUAAUGACGGUACCGUAAGAAUAAGCACCGGCUAACUACGUG